CGCGCGGAGCGGACUGGACCGGCCGUGCUGGGGCUCCCGGCGGCCGCAGAGAGGUUUUAAGCGAGCCUUUUCAAUGACCGAAACCACUUACAAUGAGAGCUUGUGCUGCUUUUAUCCUCUGCGGGGAUGAAUGAACGCUUCACGGUGCCGCUCUGUCCCCUUCGGUCCGGUAACCACGGCUGAUGGAUGCGUUACCUUCACUGGCUGUCGGAAAUCUGAGCAUACAAAGGACUGGGCAGAAGGACGGAAACGAAAGCCAGUUCCUUCUGGAGAGAACCCACCAGGAUGGAGGAGGAGUUUCAUUGACUUGAAAGAAAUGCUGAAACGUCAGUACUUUAUCUGACUUCUUUUGUGUUUGCUCAGUACGUUUUACUGGUUCAGACACCAAAAAACAAAUUUAGUCAACAAAUAGUACUGAUAAUAACAAGAUAUUACAAACUACCCAGUUAUCACUGGGCAUCAAAAACAACCUGGUUCUGGGGGUUUCUGUUCAAUCACCUCUCACCUACAUGCGACAGGCACAAGCAUUGCUUCAUUUCAAAGUCAUGCUGACUGUAAUGAAAAGUGUCAUCUACAAAAGUUUGGGACUGGGAAACAAAAAGCUGGAUAAGUAACAAUAUUACUGAUACUAAAGAAAAAACCUUUUUAGAACAACUGGAGGAACAUUUUGCAUCUUAUUAGGUCAGCUGGCAACAGUCCAGUAACAUGAUUGGGUAUGAAAAAGCAGUUUAGAGAGGCAGAGUUUCUCACGAGUAAAGAUUUGCAUUCGUUCACCAAUCUGCAAAAAGAAAAGGAAGAAAAAAACGUGUCUACGUUUGCAGAAUAAUUUUCCACAGUGUAAAAUUACUGGAAAAAGCUGAAACUCAAUAUUCAUGCCUGUGAUCUUCAGGCCCUCGGGCGGCACUGCUUUACAAACAGAUACGAUGCUUUCAAAGCGCUGCAGAAACCUCCAGAAAUCAGUGUGACCAGAGUUCACCGUCCAUCCACAGACGCAGGUUAAAGCUCUGUCAUAUGAUGAAAAGCUGUAUGUGAGCACCAUCAAGAAAUACUUCUCUGGUCCAAAGCUCAUUUAAAAUGCACUGAGGGGAAGAGGGUUGAAAUAUUCUGGAAAACAUGAAUGCCACAUCCACCCAGGAACCAUCUGGGACAUCUGGAAAGGUACCAUCAGUGCUGAAAGGUAUACACAACACAUGCUCCAAUCCACAUAACAUCUGGAUUGCCAUGAAUGUUCGAGCAAGAUGAUAUUAACCUGUAUACUGCGUCUAUUGUAACAGCAUGGCGUCAUAAAAGAAGAGUCCAAGUGUUGAACCGGCCUGGUGCAGUCCAGACUCUUCAUCUACUGAAACGUUCAUCAUGAAAAACAUGAUAAAGAUGAAUCAGCAUCUCAAAUCUUUGGAACUGAGGUUGUAAUAACGUCACAUCUGAAACUACACGGCGAAUCUUUGUGGUCUGUUUAUUUUGUGACCACAGAGUAAAGAUGUCAUCUGCAGUUGCUGAUCUAUGACAGUUGAAGUUAUGGCUGAAUGCAACAUUUUUCAUCAGCAGUGCUCCUCGUCCUCCCUGCCAGCUCCUGCACCGUCCUUAUGUCCUGUGUCUUCUGUGUUUUAGGGGCUUGAAUCCAGAAGAAAUAAUACAAAUAUGCACCUUUUUCGCUUUAGUAACAUGUAUGUUUGCAGUUCUCGAGGUCUUUGAAGUAAUUAUGACUAACAGGUACAUCUGUUAAGAUUAGACCUGCACACUUUGCUCCUGUGUCUGAGGGAUAUUCUUACACAUGAGUACAGUAAAAUAAAAACUACUUGAGUAAACUGUGGAAGGCACGUCCUGACUGUGUGCAGGAAGUCACAGUCCUGGUGUAGCUGACGCUGAAAUGUUUGUGUGGGUUGCCAUGACAACACCAAAGUGAAUCUGAGAUCGUUAUUGUUUUCUAUUUGUUUUCUUUAUUUGCUUCUCAUGCUUGUGUACAUUUGCAGUAGGAAAGGUAAUCUAUGAAUCCAGUGAUAUAUCCUGCUUAUAAGAAAUGUUUCUGUUAAAAUAUUAUUGUGAAGUAGUCACUUCCUGUGAGUUGCGGGAACCGGAAGUUGUGCGCGGGAGAGACAAGACAGAACGGUAACACGGCGGACUUUUCGGAAUAUACAACUUUUCUACUGCUGGUUUUACAAGGCGUACACGGUAAAAAAUCAUUAUGCUGUUAUUUGUUUAACACUUGUGCACCUUGUGAAAGGAAAUAAGUGGCUGAGAUGAAUAUCAUAUGUGCUAUCGAUAUUAUUUUACUUGUUUCUAGUUUUCACGGUGCUCCAUGAUUGUGAGAGGAAUAAAAGAAUUGUGGACAUCAGUACGAAGCGUGGAUUCUUUCGACCAGAGUAGAAACAGUGAAAACGUGUCCCAAUCCAUCUGGAGGCUUCGGUGUGCAAAGCUCUUCUCAUCCUGCAGCAAGCUACAGGUCUCGGUUGCUUCUCAUCCUGCAGCGAGCUACAGGCUUCAGUGGACACGUUGCUUUGCAUUUUGUGACAACCAAUCGGGAGCUGCAGAUUCAGCGGACACUCCAAGAAGCGGUUUCAGGCUAAAGCGUGAGUCCUCAGGCUAUAUUGCGCAGUUAUUAUGCCUCAUGAGUUGAUGGAUAGAACAUGAGCUACAAAUUUGCUGUAAUGGACAAGGAAUUAAUAGUGUUCAAAUUUCGGAUUGUGUAAAAACAAACAAACAAACAAACAAAAAAAAAAAAAGAAAAAAAAAAAGGACAAUCUGUUGAAGUUCUGGAAAUUAUUGUUGUUUUCUUACCUGUUGCUUGCAAGCUUCAUGAAGGCUGAAACUGAAAAUUUAUUUGCUGUCAUACGUAAGAAUCUAAGCUAAGGUUCCUUUGUGUUAAUUUUAAUAAUUCUCCGCCUAUUACAUCCAUUCUUGUAAUUACCUUAGUUAUCUUGUCCUCUUCAUAAGAUACCCCCUUUAAGUCUGAAAAUGUCUAAAGAUGGUCAUAGUCACCCUGAUGUUAUGUCAGAAGUACAAGAUGCAGGGGAUUUGGAAGAGGAAAAAAGUGUAGUGUCUGAGAAAUCUGAGACAAAAGCAAGAAAAUCCUCUCGUGAAAGGCGAUUAACGCCAAAAAUGCAGGAACUGAAAGAUCAAGAGUUAACUCAAAAGGAGAAGAGGUUCAAAGCAACAUACGAGAAAUGGAAAAGCAACGUAAGAGACAUUCGCACAAAGUUAAAGCAAGUAUGCUCUGAGAGUGACAUGUAUGAUAUGAUGGAUGAGGCUGAGAAGCUUGAGUCUGAAUUAAAGGAACAGUAUGACAGAAUUCGACUCCAAACCUCACCAAGUCAAGAAUUUCGAAGAAAGAUCGAUGCAUGCUCAGCCGUGACGGCCGACUUGCUGCAGCUGAUGAGAGUACGUCUGACUGAAGAUGAAGGUGAGUUUGACACGGUGGCGGAAAGAUCAAGGUUACGCAUGCUACUUGAUAAUGAAUAUGCUAGGUCCAUAUAUGGAUCCACAGCCUCCAGAGUUACUGCACCCAGCUGUCACAAUUCUAACCAUCUCUCAGAGUCACCUAGCAUUCCAGCUAUGAGAGCGGAAGUGGCUGCUCAGCUGGCUGCAAAGAAAGCCGAAAUUGAUAUGGAAGCUGCCAUCGAAGCUCAACGUCAGCAGUUGAGAA
ensembl:lncRNA